rnacentral:tRNA from 1 species
UCCGAUGUGGCAGAACAUUGCCUAAGAUUUAAGCUCUUAUCACGAAGUAAUUCCUUCGGAA